rnacentral:lncRNA from 10 species
GCCCAGCUGGCUGACACAUUGACUUCAGCCUUGUGAGAUUCUGAGCAGAAAAUCCAGUCAAGUCUUCUUGGACUUCAGAACUACAGAAUGGUUCUGAGAUGGCAACUGCUGGUUUCAUUUGUCUGGAGAUUUCAUCUUUCAGAGCUGUCAAGGAUUUUAGUGGCUAUAAGGAGAGAACUCUGAUGAUAAAGUUUAUUGAUUCAUGACUGCAUUCAUAUAAAACACUAAAUGGAAUUUUGAAUGGCAAGAAACAUGUUUUGUACAUUCAAUAAAUGAGAAUCUGUGUAUCAUGAAAAUGGUAACACUUAGUAUGAUAAUUUUCAGUUUAUAAAGUGUUUUAUUUAAUUCUGACAAUAAUCCUGUAAGGUAGCUGAGUUGUUGAGUUAUAGUAGCACUCAAUGUAUACCCUUCAACCCCUGCCACAAACACACAAAUGCAUGUUCAGUUUUCUUUCAUAUACAAAAUAUCCCAUCUCCCCAAACCGUUACCCCAUCUCAUACUUUGUUCACUUCUAAAAUUCCUGGAAAGGUGAAAUGUUCCCAUAACUGUCUUCAACUCAUCACUACCACUCCAUGAGAUCUGGUCUAAUCUUUGCCAUUAUAGAAAAUCUCACUUAGUUACUAAUAACUUCCUUGUUGCUAAAUGUAGUGAAGUUUCCUCUAUAUGUAUCAUUCGAAG